AACGUAGGUGGCGAGCGUUAUCCGGAUUUACUGGGCGUAAAGGGUGUGCAGGCGGGUGAACAAGUGGGGUAUGAAAGGUUUCGGCUCAACCGAGAUAGGUUAUGCCAGACUGUUUACCUAGAGUGUGAGAGAGGGACGUGGAAUUCCCGGUGUAGCGGUGGAAUGCGUAGAGAUCGGGAAGAACAUCAGUGGCGAAGGCGGCCUGCUGGGCUGUUGCUGACGCUGAGGCGCGACAGCGUGGGGAGCAAACAGG
rnacentral:rRNA from 1 species